ACGUAGGGGACAAGCGUUAUCCGGAUUUACUGGGCGUAAAGCGCCCGUAGGCGGCCUGAUAAGUUGGACGUGAAAGCUCCCGGCUUAACUGGGAGAGGCCGUUCAAAACUGUGAGGCUAGAGUGAGGCAGAGGAGCGCGGAAUUCCCGGUGUAGUGGUGGAAUGCGUAGAGAUCUGGAGGAACACCGAUGGCGAAGGCAGCCCCCUGGGCUAACACUGACGCUCAUGCACGAAAGCGUGGGGAGCAAACAGGA
rnacentral:rRNA from 1 species